rnacentral:rRNA from 1 species
GAUGAACGCUAGCUACAGGCUUAACACAUGCAAGUCGAGGGGUAACGAGAGAAAAGCUUGCUUUCCUUGUCGACGACCGGCGCACGGGUGAGUAACGCGUAUCCAACCUGCCCCCAACUAGGGAAUAACCUUGCGAAAGUAAGACUAAUACCCUAUAAUUUCCUCAGAUGUCAUCUGACGAGGAAUAAAGAUUUAUCGGUUGUGGAUGGGGAUGCGUCUGAUUAGCUUGUUGGCGGGGUAACGGCCCACCAAGGCAACGAUCAGUAGGGGUUCUGGGGGGAAGGUCCCCCACAUUGGAACUGAGACACCGUCCAAACUCCUACGGGAGGCAGCAGUGAGGAAUAUUGGUCAAUGGGCGGAAGCCUGAACCAGCCAAGUAGCGUGCAGGAUGACGGCCCUAUGGGUUGUAAACUGCUUUUAUACAGGAAUAAAGUUAGCCACGUGUGGUUAUUUGUAGGUACUGUAUGAAUAAGGACCGGCUAAUUCCGUGCCAGCCGCCGCGGUAA